UUAUUUUAGACUCUGUUUAUACAUAUGUCACAUAAACAGUAGUUUUGGUCUGUUUUUCAUUUUUGUAGCUGUCGUUGAUCGACAAAAAAUCACAUUAAAAGUCAGUUAGUAAUAACCUUUAUCUCGGGAUCUAAAAUCAAACGCAGGACUUGCUGCUAAAUCGGUAGAAAAUGGCUGUGAAGUGCUAAUUAAAUUCAUUAAAUUGGAAAAAGAAAUGGCAAAAGGCUGCUAAAUGCUAUUGGUGAAACAUCGCUGGAGUGAUUCAAUAAAAUUUACAAAUUAAGUCGUAUGAGGAAUAUUAAAAUAAAGCUGGACUCAAGACACGAUAAUUUAUUUUGAUGCUGACAAAAUCUGUCAUUCGUUUGUUGGGGGUAGCACUGCUGGCGGCAUAAAUGAUAGCUUCUACAGACAAGAAGGAUGCAGAAGCGAGCCAAACGACGAAUGCAACCAUUUGUAGAUAGCAUGGUGAUGAUUCAAUCAAUUAGCAGUCCAAGAUUUAUAAACGAAAAUGAAGAAGUUAUGAUUUUAUCUGCAAAAAAGAAAAAGUCAUCAACUGUCUGUGCGGCUACGAAAAAGUGGAUCGUUCGAUGGCACAGCGUGAAUUAUGUUUGUAAUACCAGCACGGUAUCUGUAACAAAAUCGCUACAUAUGUCGCAACCCGCAAAGUGGUAGUGAGUCAAGAUUGGUUGUAUGAGGGCGACCAACCAGGUAUCAAAACUGAAACAUUCUACUAGCUUAAAAACAAAUCACAUUAUAGCGGGUAACUAGCUGGAAUUGAAAUGGUUCGUGCAUAGUUCAAUCGUCAAAAUCAACAUCGCAGAUAACAAAGACAAUCCGGAAAUUAAACUGUCGUCAGAGAAAUGGGGAAAGAGUCCUCGGCAAGGCGAGGUGAUGAUCAUCCAUCAAGAAUCGUAUCUCCUAACCAACCUGUUACAUCAGUCAACAGUUAUCUUCGUUCGGAACCAUUCCAAUACUUCCGAUAUGAUGAAGACUGAGUUUCUUGUCGCGGGCGAAUAGGCUACUCGCAGUGCGGAUUGUUUCGGAUUCAUCCAGGAUGAUGAAAUAAUCAUAGGCAGUUCCUGUGGCAGGAACAUUUUCAAAAGUUGUAUGCCAAACGUUAUGAUUCCUUCAUGGCCGAGAAAAACUUCACUUGAAAUUUUUUUGUUUACCGCAGUCACCAGUAACCCAGUUUAAGUUCGAAUUAUCCGACAAGAAAAAACAACCGGGUGCGCCCGCGGAUGGUCACCACAAAAGUGAUAAACUAACAUCGACCAGUUCCAAAAGCAUCAAUCAGCAAACCUCGCAGACAUCCUCCAUCGAUCUUACCAGCGCCCUGGAGGCAUCGACUCGCAUAGAUUUGGCUGAAGGUUUGUAAAUCGCAAUAUGGAAGAGUCACAAUGGUGACCACAAACAAGCAUAUGCAACGGAUGCUCCAAACGGAUUUUUUCUCUAGAUUUUGCAACUUGACCAGUGUCGCCAAUCAGUUGUUAGUCUAUUGGAAUUUUUUUCUAGUUCAUUACUGAGUGUAAGAUGUUUAUUGUAAAAUUAUUAUUAAACUAAUUGAAACAAAAAAAUAGAGUCACUUAAGUUUAUAUUUUUCUUACUUCUCUUUCAAGGGAGAUUAUCUCCACUUGAGUUUAUAAUAUUUACAUUAAUUUGAAGGUGAUAGCAGAAAAGGAAUCUUGAUUAUGUGUCCAGGAACCAAUCUGUGUCUUGCAGCGAACUUAGAAAUGAUAAUUUAGCCAUUCUUGUAGCGUUAAGUCUAUAUCUGUUUUCACAAGUCCUGCCAGUCCGUGAGAACAUCCUUUCUGCCGGAACCGACGUCACCAUUCGUGAAAGGAAGUCUUUGGCAAUUGGAUGCAGAUGCGGAUACUCGCUUUUAAUCGCACUCCAUGCUUCGAGUGGGUCGGAUGAUCUGUAAAUCACUUUUUGGUGAAGAAAAUUUCUCAAUUCGC